UGCUAUUUUUAUGAAGAGCGGCGAACGGGUGAGUAACGCGUGGGAAAUCUGCCGAGUAGCGGGGGACAACGUUUGGAAACGAACGCUAAUACCGCAUAACAAUGAGAAUCGCAUGAUUCUUAUUUAAAAGAAGCAAUUGCUUCACUACUUGAUGAUCCCGCGUUGUAUUAGCUAGUUGGUAGUGUAAAGGACUACCAAGGCGAUGAUACAUAGCCGACCUGAGAGGGUGAUCGGCCACACUGGGACUGAGACACGGCCCAGACUCCUACGGGAGGCAGCAGUAGGGAAUCUUCGGCAAUGGGGGCAACCCUGACCGAGCAACGCCGCGUGAGUGAAGAAGGUUUUCGGAUCGUAAAACUCUGUUGUUAGAGAAGAACGUUAAGUAGAGUGGAAAAUUACUUAAGUGACGGUAUCUAACCAGAAAGGGACGGCUAACUACGUGCCAGCAGCCGCGGUAAUACGUAGGUCCCAAGCGUUGUCCGGAUUUAUUGGGCGUAAAGCGAGCGCAGGUGGUUUCUU
rnacentral:rRNA from 1 species